AGCAGCCGCGGUAAUUCCAGCUCCGAUAGCGUAUAUUAAAGUUGUUGCAGUUAAAAAGCUCGUAGUUGAAUUUCGGGGUUAGUAGGUUGGUCAUGCCUCUGGUAUGUACUGGUCUCACUGAUUCCUCCUUCCUGAUGAGCCGUAAUGCCAUUAAUUUGGUGUUGCGGGGAAUUUGGACUGUUACUUUGAAAAAAUUAGAGUGUUUAAAGCAAGCUAACGCUUGAAUACAUUAGCAUGGAAUAAUGAAAUAGGACGUUCGAUCCUAUUUUGUUGGUUUCUAGGAUUGACGUAAUGAUUAAUAGGGAUAGUUGGGGGCAUUAGUAUUCAAUUGUCAGAGGUGAAAUUCUUGGAUUUAUUGAAGACUAACUACUGCGAAAGCAUUUGCCAAGGAUGUUUUCAUUAAUCAAGAACGAAAGUUAGGGGAUCGAAGACGAUCAGAUACCGUCGUAGUCUUAACCAUAAACUAUGCCGACUAGGGAUCGGAUGAUGUUAAUUUUUUAAUGACUC
rnacentral:rRNA from 1 species